CAGCCGCCGCGGGAAUGCGUAGGUGGCAAGCGUUGUCCGGAAUUAUUGGGCGUAAAGGGCUCGCGGGCGGUUUCUUAAGUCUGAUGUGAAAGCCCCCGGCUCAACCGGGGAGGGUCAUUGGAAACUGGGAAACUUGAGUGCAGAAGAGGAGAGUGGAAUUCCACGUGUAGCGGUGAAAUGCGUAGAGAUGUGGAGGAACACCAGUGGCGAAGGCGACUCUCUGGUUUGUAACUGACGCUGAGGAGCGAAAGCGUGGGGAGCGAACAGGAUUAGAUACCCGUGUAGUCCCUGUCUCUUAUAA
rnacentral:rRNA from 1 species